rnacentral:rRNA from 1 species
AGUGAACGCUGGCGGUAGGCCUAACACAUGCGAGUCGAACGGCAGCACAGUAAGAGCUUGCUCUUACGGGUGGCGAGUGGCGGACGGGGGAGGAAUACAUCGGAAUCUACUUUUUCGUGGGGGAUAACGUAGGGAAACUUACGCUAAUACCGCAUACGACCUACGGGUGAAAGCAGGGGAUCUUCGGACCUUGCGCGAUUGAAUGAGCCGAUGUCGGAUUAGCUAGUUGGCGGGGUAAAGGCACACCAAGGCGACGAUCCGUAGCUGGUCUGAGAGGAUGAUCGGCCACACUGGAAUUGAGACAGGGUCCAGACUCAGACGGGAGGCAGCAGUGGGGAAUAUUGGACAAUGGGCGCAAGCCUGAUCCAGCCAUACCGCGUGGGUGAAGAAGGCCUUCGGGUUGUAAAGCCCUUUUGUUGGGAAAGAAAAGCAGCAGGUUAAUAUCCCGCUGUUCUGACGGUACCCAAAGAAUAAGCACCGGCUAACUUCGUG